AUGUUUGCCGGAGAAGUGGGAGAUGGAGGUUCAAAAGUCUGUGAGGCUGAGAAAGGAGAAAAGCCCACAUUUCUGGCCAUGAUUGAAUCAAGAAUCCCAUUUAAUUCUACCAGAGAUCCACACAGGGAGUUACACAGGGCAGCAUUAGAAACCAGUAGGAGAUCCCAGGAGAGCAGAAAUUCAGGAAGAUGUUUUGACUGCUGGACAGCCAGUGAACUGGUGACAUUGCAGAGGAGGGAAGACUAGCAAUGGGACAGGAAAUUUUGGUAUUACAAGUUUUGAUUUCUUUUCCAGUUGAAUUCCUGUUUCAUUUUAAAAUGUCUAACAGCAUUUGUGAGAAAAACAAUGUUUGUUAGGAUCACUAAUAAGUUUUUCCAAUACUAAGGGUGUGAGAAUCUGAGUUUCCUCCUAUUUUUUCCCAAUAAAAUAUAAGAAGGAAAUGAAUGACCUUUAAAA
rnacentral:lncRNA from 1 species